GAUAAACGCUAGCGGCAGGCUUAACACAUGCAAGUCGGGGGGCAGCAUAGAUUGUAGCAAUACAAUUGGUGGCGACCGGCGCACGGGUGCGUAACGCGUAUGCAACCUACCCGUCACAGGGGGAUAAUCCGGAGAAAUCUGGUCUAAUACCCCAUAACAUAUGGAUCGGCAUCGGUUCAUGUUGAAAUUUUCGGAGGUGACGGAUGGGCAUGCGUAGCAUUAGCUUGUUGGUGAGGUAACGGCUCACCAAGGCGACGAUGCGUAGGGGGACUGAGAGGUUUUCCCCCCACACUGGUACUGAGACACGGACCAGACUCCUACGGGAGGCAGCAGUGAGGAAUAUUGGUCAAUGGGCGCAAGCCUGAACCAGCCAUGCCGCGUGCAGGAUGACGGCUCUAUGAGUUGUAAACUGCUUUUGUACGAGGGUAAAGUGGGUUACGUGUAACCUUUUGAAAGUAUCGUACGAAUAAGGAUCGGCUAACUCCGUGCCAGCAGCCGCAGUAA
rnacentral:rRNA from 1 species